rnacentral:lncRNA from 1 species
AGGAUUCGUACAAUGAAAGAUGGAAGAGAUUAUUACAGAAUGAUUUUUUCCCCCUUUUAUUAAAGUCUUUCAAAAUCUCUAGAUUGAAUGACAAACAAAUUGUAAGAAUUUUUAUCUGUAUUUUCUAUUUAAAAUUUAGUAAGUUGAGAACUUUGUAAUUGAUUAGAAGUUAUUAAUAUUUGAAUACCCGUGAGUUUUUAGGACUUUAAAUUUUAAUCUAAUACUCAAUCAUUUUUCAAGACUUUAAAAAGUCUAUGAAAUGCUACAUUAAAUACACCUAGAUAUUUUAGAUGUGUGAAAGUAUUUAAAAGUUUCAAUCUUCUUAUAUUCUUUAUAAUUUUGUUUGGCUAUGUGUUCUUGGGGGCAUUUUGGAGUUGAUCGGGUCACUAUCUAGGAUCAAAUAUCUCCAUUUAAUUAUUUACAUAUCUUUUUAUUAUUCUCUAUUUUUGAAAUAUGAUUUAAUUGAAAGAUAUGAAAAUAAAAUAAAAAGAUUCGGGAUGGAUAAAGCAAUUCAAGGCAUGGACCAUAUUUUCAUCCCCAUCCGAUUGACUAUUUUGGUCAAGGUAAUGUGAGUUGAGUCGAGCAGAAUUUUAUCAUCCGCAUCAUUCAAAGGGAAGAUUAUUGAAAAAAAAAAUAAAAAAAAAUGAGAACAAAGUUUCAAAUCGAUACUUGAAGUAGUGAUAAAUUUAUAAGGGAGAGAGGGGCAGAAACUCAAAAGUGACUUCAACCCCAAAAGAUAAAGAAUAAUUCUUGCAAUGCUGCCAGCACUGCUUGUGUACAUAUACAAUGGGAUUUCCCCUUGUAAAUGUAGCAUAUCGGAAAGAUAAAUAGUUAUCUUCCAUAGUUAUUAUUCAAAAUCUUGCUUUUGUGAUGAAUGUAGGUUAAAGAAUCAGUAAACUAAAAAUGGAUAAUUAAAAAUCAAAUUUAAACAGAUACAAAUAUAUAAAUUUCGUAAAUGAGAAUGUAUAUACACGUGAGUAUAGGUGAGAAACAUUAGGUUUCCCCUUUCGUCCCUAUAGUUUUAGUUUUUGGUCAACAAUGCCCUUAUUCAUUCUUCACGUUUCACAAAAAUUUUUGUGGUUUUUUAUGUUUAUUAUUCUAGUAAUAAUUAACUUUUAGACUCAAUUCCUUUAAAAACAUUAAUUCAAAUAAAAAAAUUAAACAUAAAAGAACUGAAAGUUCACAUUAUAGAAGUAUAUAA